rnacentral:lncRNA from 10 species
AUACCGACGCUGUAACCGUGGAACUGGGUCUUAAACAAGUUCAUGAGGCAGAAGGAGCACUUGUGCAAAGGCAGGGAGACAGGGGACACCGCAACUUAUCCUGAGAACUAGAAGAAUGAUGGGAGCCCGGGGGUGCGGAGUGAACUGGGAAAACGGCAAUGGAUUAAUAACAAGAAAUUAAUGGUGAAGUGGUGACUAAAAUUCUACAUUGCUUAGAAAGCAAGUAAGAAAAUCAGUGGUUGUAGAGAAGUUCUUCCAUGAGAUAGUGAAAUGAACAUUUACAUUCUGGCAACCUCAGAAGUACAACGAACAGAGGACACCCGCCAGGUAGGGCAAAGGCCUGUGCACCCCCUUUUGCUGUUACAUGUUUACCAGGUGCGUGCUCUGUUUCUGUUGUAUUACAUUACUUUUCUCUUCAAUGUCUACUGAGGAAGAACAAGUAGCUCCUCAGGCAAGUCAACUGUUAACUCUGCAGUUUUUAUUUAAUCUCCCAGGAAUGUAACCUUUAACUUUAAAGAAUGUAGUGACCAUAAAACUUAUAAAGCAUGUUUCUUAAGGAAAUUGUACCUGUUUAUUUAAUCUAUCAGAUAUGAAUGUUAUAGAAAAUUAAAUUUGUCCACUUAAGCUAUAGAUGAACUUUUCACCUUUCUGAUCAGAAAUUCACCAUCUUAUAGUAUAGGUUCUGUUAUUAAUCAGAAUAUUUCAUUUAGACUCUUUCUAUCCAACUUUUUCUUAGAGGCUAUUCAAAAUAAAGGUGCUUCUAACAGUUUCAUAUCGAAAUACGAUGCAAAGCCUUGCUCUUCCAUGGUAUCCUUUGAGUGAGCCAAACUUAUUUGGUCAUUCCCCUAUAGUUAAAUAGCUAGGAUGUUUCCAACAUCUCACCUUUAAAACAAUAGUGCUAUGAAUGUCAUAAAUGUUUGUAUAUGUAAAUAUGUAGGAUAAAUGCCUAUCAGUAGAAUUUCAAAAGGUAUACGCAAUCAGUAUUUUCAUACAUAUUUAAAAUUUUCCAUCCAUACAAAGGUUGCUAACAUAUUUAUUUAAAAUUUUAAAAAUAAUUUUAUAUGCCUCUUGUAACCAGUAAUAGGAUGCAAAGUUUUUUUUUAAGGUAACAUUGCUCCUCUUCCCCCACUGUCUCUGUCAUCUAUAGUACUCCCUGAGGUAGUUCAUGUUAUUGCAAGGGUGUGUAUCAUCCCAAACAUAUUGCUUCCACAUACAUAUAUCAGCAUACAUAUAUAUAUAUGUAUAGCAUGUAUAUAUGAGCACAUAUUAAUAUAUGCCCAUGCACAUACAAGCAUGUUUUUGUUAAUUUUUACUGAAAUGGAAUCAUGCUACAUACUUAUGAACAAAUUGCUUCUUUCACCUUAUAUCACUUAUAAUUGUUAUUCUACAAAUCAGUACAUAUAAAAAAUACAUAUUUACUUAUGUAAUACUCUAUCUUUCUGUUAUAAUUUUCUGCAUGCACAUGUAUGCAUAUACAUAUAUUCAUAAACAUAAAAAUCUAAACGGGAUUUUUUUUGGGGGGGUGAUAUGGUUUGGCUGUGUCCCCACCCAAAUCUCAUCUUGAAUUCCCAUGUGUUGUGGGGGGACCCGGUGGGAGGUAAUUGAAUUAUGGGGGCAGGUCUUUCCUGUGCUGUUCUCGGGAUAGUGAAAAAGUCUCACGAGAUCUGAUGGUUU